rnacentral:rRNA from 1 species
UACGUAGGGGGCAAGCGUUGUCCGGAAUUAUUGGGCGUAAAGAGCGCGUAGGCGGUCCGGUAAGUCGGCUGUGAAAGUCAAGGGCUCAACCCUUGAAAGCCGGCCGAUACUGUCGGACUAGAGUCCGGAAGAGGCGAGUGGAAUUCCCGGUGUAGCGGUGAAAUGCGCAGAUAUCGGGAGGAACACCAAUGGCGAAGGCAGCUCGCUGGGACGGUACUGACGCUGAUGCGCGAAAGCCAGGGGAGCGAACGGG